CCCCGUAUUUUUAUACAUUGGGACAACCCGGAUUAAUUAUGAUAAUUUAGAGCCAAGACUAUUCCGGGAUUCGAAGUCGGGACUUUUGACCUUUGAUUUUAUUUCGAGGCAUAAGUUAUAUAUGGAAUUGUUGGCAUUGAACACUUAGGAAAAAUUUGGGACCACAAUUCAUAAAUUGGAAUUAAAAUGUUGUGCAAAAAAAUAAAAAAUAAAAAAUAAAUUCCUUGGUGGCCAUGUAAAUGGGAAUUGGUCCCACACAUUAUGUGGCCAAUUUUAAUUGGUCCACUCCAUGUGUGGGCCAAGGACACUUGGACAACAACUAUAUGAGCCUAAAGUAUGACCAAGUAGUCAUCUUUUCCCCAUUGCAAGACUUAGAAAAAAAAAUCAAGGAGUUGAAGACCACCUUCAACACCCCUCUCGGCUACAAACCAAGAAAAACCAAAUCCAAAUCAAGCCACCCCAAAAUUAUUUCCUUGGUAUAAAUCAACUAUUUAGAAGUCCCUAAGUAACGUGGAAGAGUUGUUUGGGUCAUCCAACCACUAGUUGUGCCCAAUUGCAAACCCUAACUAUUGAAGGAAGUGAAGAAGGAAGACCUUGGGCAGCCCGAAUCAUAGUUUGGACUUAGCUUGAGUUGGAUCAUAUUGGAGAGCGUUUGAGGUACAGACGCACAGCCUGGUGAUCCACCUGUUUAGGACACCCUUUCUGCUAUUCGGAGUGCUCCUCUCUUUCCGGAGCUUAUACUUUUGGUAUAUAUAUUUAUUAGUGCAUUUGUAUAUAUUCGUUCAUGGGUAC